rnacentral:hammerhead_ribozyme from 1 species
AUCCAGUGACGAGUCCCAAAUAGGACGAAAUGCGCAUUGUCAUGGAU